CCCGCCACAGCCCGCGCUGCCUCUGGGCCGGGGCGGCCUGGGAUGGGCCGGGGUUGCCGGACUCGGGGGCGGUCGGAGAGUGCAGCUGGACAGGUCGGAGCAAGCGGAGCGUCGUCCCAAACUCGUGCCGAAGCCCCCGUCCUUCCCCCGUCCUGCAGCCCCACCUCCAGCCACGCUGCGGCUUCGCGCCACCGUGACCGGCUUCACUGACCGAGUAUCAUAAUGCUCCGUGCUCAAAAUGUACCAAUUUCUGCUUUUCUGUAUUCUGCCAGCUGAAGUCAAUGCCAGCUAAGAGGCAGACAACUAAGACAAAGAUCUACCUGGCAUUUCACUACAUUUCAAAGCGCAGACAGGAAGACGGCAUGAGGAUUAAGAGGAAGAAGUUGACAGUGACCACACAGAAUCCUGUGUUUGAAUGGAAUUUAUGCAUCAUGUAUGAGGUGUAUGAAUAUGCAACAGGCAAUUGUUUUUAAGGGUUAAUCCUCUGUUAACGGGGGUCCUUUCUCGGGCUUGUGUUGCCCAGAAAAAGGUACCCGGACGUCCGUAUCUCUUUGUUUUUAUUGUCUCAUAUUGUCCUAAUCUCAAUUGUUCAAAUUUUAUUACUCUAAUUCCAUUACUAUUU